UCUUUGAUUGGCAGUGGUGGAGGACAAGGGUCCCCCCUCCUCUGGAUCUUCUGUGUGAAAGCAUGGUGCCUCCUUUCUGGCACAGAAGUGAUCAAACGGCUACCUACCCCUCAUCCUCCCAUUAUUGUGCAGUGUACGUGUGGGCUCCCUGAAAAGCAUGGAGCAGAGGUGUAGACGUUUGAUUAAGUGCUUCCUAAGCUUGAUGGUCGAGCCUUGUUUCAGCUGCUGAAUUUGCUGUGUGCAGCCUGGCAUUGUUCUCAGGAGGGUCUUUCAUAUGUGUCUGAGGACAUAAGGACAGAUGAGAAGCAGGCCAGGGGAGAAGUGAUCUCUGCCUCCCCACCUCACACCCACAUGGCACAGGAGGACAGGGUUGACUGCAUCGGUGUCCCUGUGGGAAGGACUGUUUGCAGCUCAGGAUGUUUGCCAUCACAACGGCAGAGCCGCAGUUCACACCCAGGCACGUUCUCCCCAAGACCUGUGGCUGCAACCACUGCUAUGCAUGGAAUGUGAGACGGACGGUGCUCGCCUAGCCAACAGUUGAUGCUGAAUACAUCUUCAUCUGUGUAUUGACCAUCUACCCUUUUCCCAUGAUUUGUUUGUCAAAAUUCCUUGCUAAUUUCCUUAUUAAAA
rnacentral:lncRNA from 1 species